UACAGAGGUCCCAAGCGUUGUUCGGAUUCACUGGGCGUAAAGGGUGCGUAGGUGGUCGGGUAAGUCUGAUGUGAAAUCUCCGAGCUCAACUCGGAAAUGGCAUUGGAUACUAUUCGGCUAGAGGGUUGGAGGGGAGACUGGAAUUCUCGGUGUAGCAGUGAAAUGCGUAGAUAUCGAGAGGAACACCAGUGGCGAAGGCGAGUCUCUGGACAACUCCUGACACUGAGGCACGAAAGCUAGGGGAGCAAACAG
rnacentral:rRNA from 1 species